AACGAACGCUGGCGGCGUGGAUAAGACAUGCAAGUCGAGCGCUGGUUGCAAGGUAGCAAUAUUUUGCAAUUGGAGCGGCGAAAGGGUGCGUUACACGUGGGCAAUCUGCCGUGAAGUCUGGAAUAACUCGCUGAAAGGCGAGCUAAUGCCGGAUGUGAUCACCGGGAGGCAUCUCCUGGGGUUCAAAGUUGGGGACCGAAAGGCCUGACGCUUCAUGAUGAGCCCGCGGCCUAUCAGCUAGUUGGUGAGGUUACGGCUCACCAAGGCUAUGACGGGUAGCUGGUCUGAGAGGACGACCAGCCACACUGGAACUGAGACACGGUCCAGACACCUACGGGUGCUG
rnacentral:rRNA from 1 species